UACGGGGGGGGGCAAGCGUUGUUCGGAAUUACUGGGCGUAAAGGGCUCGUAGGCGGCCAACUAAGUCGGACGUGAAAUCCCCCGGCUUAACCAGGGAACUGCGUCUGAUACUGGAUGGCUUGAGUUUGGGAGAGGGAUGCGGAAUUCCAGGUGUAGCGGUGAAAUGCGUAGAUAUCUGGAGGAACACCGGUGGCGAAGGCGACAUCCUGGACCAAUACUGACGCUGAGGAGCGAAAGCCAGGGGAGCAAAGCGGG
rnacentral:rRNA from 1 species